GUGUACGUACAAGCAGUGGGAGCACCCUUCGGGGUGUGACUGCGUACCUUUUGUAUAAUGGGUCAGCGACUUAUAUUCUGUAGCAAGGUUAACCGUAUAGGGGAGCCGUAGGGAAACCGAGUCUUAACCGGGCGUUAAGUUGCAGGGUAUAGACCCGAAACCCGGUGAUCUAGCCAUGGGCAGGUUGAAGGUUGGGUAACACUAACUGGAGGACCGAACCGACUAAUGUUGAAAAAUUAGCGGAUGACCUGUGGCU
rnacentral:rRNA from 2 species